AGUGAACGCUGGCGGUAGGCCUAACACAUGCGAGUCGAACGGCAGCACAGUAAGAGCUUGCUCUUACGGGUGGCGAGUGGCGGACGGGUGAGGGAUACAUCGGAAGCUACUUUUUCGUGGGGGAUAACGUAGGGAAACUUACGCUAAUACCGCAUACGACCUACGGGUGAAAGCAGGGGAUCUUCGGACCUUGCGCGAUUGAAUGAGCCGAUGUCGGAUUAGCUAGUUGGCGGGGUAAAGGCCCACCAAGGCGACGAUCCGUAGCUGGUCUGAGAGGAUGAUCAGCCACACUGGAACUGAGACACGGUCCAGACUCCUACGGGAGGCAGCAGUGGGGAAUAUUGGACAAUGGGCGCAAGCCUGAUCCAGCCAUACCGCGUGGGUGAAGAAGGCCUUCGGGUUGUAAAGCCCUUUUGUUGGGAAAGAAAAGCAGCAGGUUAAUACCCCGCUGUUCUGACGGUACCCAAAGAAUAAGCACCGGCUAACUUCGUG
rnacentral:rRNA from 1 species